rnacentral:rRNA from 1 species
AACGUAGGUGGCGAGCGUUAUCCGGAUUUACUGGGCGUAAAGGGUCCGCAGGUGGCAGUGUAAGUCUGCUGUCAAAGAAUGAGGCUUAACCUUAUCAAGGCAGUGGAAACUACACAGCUAGAGUACGGUCGGGGUAGAAGGAAUUCCUGGUGUAGCGGUGAAAUGCGUAGAGAUCAGGAAGAACACCGGUGGCGAAAGCGUUCUGCUAGACCUGUACUGACACUGAGGGACGAAAGCUAGGGGAGCGAAUGGG